rnacentral:rRNA from 1 species
GACGAACCGUGCGGACGUUAUUCGGAAUCACUGGGCUUAAAGGGCGCGUAGGCGGGCCGAAAAGUCAGGGGUGAAAUCCUCCAGCCCAACUGGAGAAGCGCCUUUGGUACUGUCGGCCUCGAGGGGUGCAGGGGCAUGCGGAACUCAGGGUGGAGCGGUGAAAUGCGUAGAUAUCCUGAGGAACACCGGUGGCGAAAGCGGCGUGCUGGACACCUUCUGACGCUGAGGCGCGAAAGCCAGGGGAGCGAACGGG